GACGGGAUCGGCACAGGGACGGAAUGGGAUGGGACAGGAACGGGAUGGGACGGGAUCAGCACGGGGAUGGGGUGGGAAUGGCUCGGGGACAGGACAGGAACGGCAUGGGAAUAGGAUGGGAAUGGGAUGGAAAUGGGACAGGGAAUGGGAUGUGAAUGGCAAGGGAAUGGCACAGGGAAUGGCAUGGGAGCAGCACAGGGAUCGGCACAGGGAAUGGCCCGGGGAUUGGCACAGGAAUGGGAUGUGAAUGGCACAGGGAAAGGCAUAGGGAAUGGCACGGGAAUCCCAUGGGAAUGCCAUGGGGAAUGGCACGGGAAUGCCAUGGGAAUGCCAUGGGAAUGCCAUGGGAAUGCCAUGGGGAAUGGCACAGGAAUGCCAUGGGAAUGCCAUGGGAAUGCCAUGGGGAAUGGCACAGGGAAUGGCACAGGAAUGCCAUGGGAAUGCCAUGGGAAUGCCAUGGGGAAUGCCAUGGGGAAUGCCAUGGGGAAUGCCAUGGGAAUGCCAUGGGGAAUGCCAUGGGAAUGCCAUGGGAAUGACACAGGGAAUGGCACAGGGAAUGGCACAGGGAAAGGCACGGGAAUGCCAUGGGGAAUGCCAUGGGAAUGCCAUGGGAGUGACACAGGGAAAGGCACGGGAAUGCCAUGGGAAUGCCAUGGGGAAUGGCAUGGGGAAUGGCACAGGUCAGUGCCAGGAUCAGCACUGGGAUCAGCACAGGGAAUGGAUCAGAGCUGGAAUCGGUGCCGGGAAUGGCACAGGGAACAGCACCGGGAAUACCAGGAAUGGCACAGGGAAUGGCAGGGAAUGACACCAGGAAUGGCACCAGGAAUGGCACCAGGAAUGGCACCAGGAAUGGCACCAGGAAUGACACCAAGAAUGGCACCAGGAAUGGCACCAGGAAUGGCACCAGGAAUGACACCAGGAAUGGCACCAGGAAUGGCAGGGGAUGACACCAGGAAUGGCACCAGGAAUGGCAGGGAAUGACACCAGGAAUGGCACCAGGAAUGGCAGGGAAUGACACCAGGAAUGGCACCAGGAAUGGCACCAGGAAUGGCAGGGAAUGACACCAGGAAUGACACCAGGAAUGGCACCAGGAAUGGCACCAGGAAUGCCGGGAUUGCCGCAGGGAUCAUGGCCCAGCGUGGGGAAUGGGGAAACACGGAAAUGGGAGAACAGGAAGCGCUCAGGGAUUGUGCCCCAGGGAUGGCAGGGACACCAGGA
rnacentral:lncRNA from 1 species